ACCUUAUCACAUUGCCACACUGCUGUUUGGAUCUGCUGAUCUGGUAAUUUGGAAACUGGAAUAUAGCAGGGCAGCAGUGUGUAUAGCAGGCCAGGCAUCAGUGAGCGAGCAGACUCAAUGUUUUGCAGUUUAAGUUUAACUUUACAUUUCUGUCAAGCGUCCAAGUCAAACCCAAGUUGGCAAACUUACUUCUGCAGACUGCAGUACAGAAUCUGGUCCGCACUCCCAGUCCCAGGAUGAGAAAAUUUACUUUCUCUGGUGGCUCGAGUUUGACCUCUGGCUCCAGGAACAUUCUUCAUCACAACAUGCCCACUGUUUAAACGAUGCAUGUGCCACACACGCUUAAUGACUUGAGGAUGGCGUGUCUGUACAUGCCUUCCCCAGGGAUGUUCACCUUUGUACUUUGUGGGUGAGUCAAUGUGAACCAACGUGGGACACAUACCAUUAUUUGUCAAGGAUGUGAUACACAGCAAGAGAGCCAAGUAUUACUUGUGCUAAAAGCAUUUUGAGGAUUGCAUGUUUGAAACUAAUCUGAUGAAGAAACUUCUUCCCAAAGGCCUGCUGAAAUGGCAGACUCAUCGACAUUUGAAGAGAAAUGCACUGCCUACAAUUUUCAGUUUUUCACAGAAAGAAGACAGAACAUCAUCAAGUCAGAAAAUUGCAGUACAGGAAAAGAAAAAGCUCCUGUAGCAGUUGCUCUCUUCACAGCUGAGUACAUUUCAGUUGAUAGCACAGCAGGUGGAUGAUAACCAUGCACAGGAACAUUCUUCAUCACAACAUGCCCCACUGCCUAGACUGCAUGUGCAACACAACCUGGACAACUUGAGGAUGGUGUGUUUGUACAUGACUUCCUCAGGAAUAUUUGCCUUUGGACUAUGUGGGCAGUGUGUAACCAAUCUGGGACAUACACCAACAUUUGUCAAGGAUGUGAUCCACAGCAAAAGAGCCAAGUAUUAGUUGUGCCCCAAGUAGUUUGAAACCAAUCUGAUGAAGAAAUUUCUUUGCAAAGACCUACUGAAACGGCAGACUCACUGAUGUUUGAAGAGAAAUGCACUGCCUUCAGUUUUCAGUUUUGCACAGAAAAGAGACAGACCAUCAUCAAGUCGAUGAAUUGCAGUGCAGCAAUGGAAAAAGAUGUGUAGUAUGCAAUUUUAGUUUGUGACCAUGAUUGCAUGUUUGGAAGA